ACGCUGGCGGUAGGCCUAACACAUGCAAGUCGAACGGCAGCACAGUAAGAGCUUGCUCUUAUGGGUGGCGAGUGGCGGACGGGUGAGGAAUACAUCGGAAUCUACCUUUUCGUGGGGGAUAACGUAGGGAAACUUACGCUAAUACCGCAUACGACCUUCGGGUGAAAGCAGGGGACCUUCGGGCCUUGCGCGGAUAGAUGAGCCGAUGUCGGAUUAGCUAGUUGGCGGGGUAAAGGCCCACCAAGGCGACGAUCCGUAGCUGGUCUGAGAGGAUGAUCAGCCACACUGGAACUGAGACACGGUCCAGACUCCUACGGGAGGCAGCAGUGGGGAAUAUUGGACAAUGGGCGAAAGCCUGAUCCAGCCAUGCCGCGUGUGUGAAGAAGGUCUUCGGAUUGUAAAGCACUUUAAGUUGGGAGGAAGGGCAGUUGCCUAAUACGUAGCUGUUUUGACGUUACCGACAGAAUAAGCACCGGCUAACUCUGUGCCAGCAGCCGCGGUAAUACAGAGGGUGCAAGCGUUAAUCGGAAUUACUGGGCGUAAAGCGCGCGUAGGUGGUUUGUUAAGUUGGAUGUGAAAUCCCCGGGCUCAACCUGGGAACUGCAUUCAAACUGACUGACUAGAGUAUGGUAGAGGGUGGUGGAAUUUCCUGUGUA
rnacentral:rRNA from 1 species